rnacentral:rRNA from 1 species
AUUGAACGCUGGCGGCAUGCUUUACACAUGCAAGUCGAACGGUAACAGGUUAAGCUGACGAGUGGCGAACGGGUGAGUAAUGUAUCGGAACGUGCCCAGGCGUAGGGGAUAACUUCCCGAAAGAGCAGCUAAUACCGCAGACGACCUGAGGGGGAAAGCGGGGGAUCGCAAGACCUCGCGCGAUUGGAGCGGCCGAUAUCAGAUUAGGUAGUUGGUGGGGUAAAGGCCCACCAAGCCGGCGAUCUGUAGCUGGUCUGAGAGGACGACCAGCCACACUGGGACUGCUGCACGGCCCCGACGCCUACGGGAGGCAGCAGUGGGGAAGUUUGGAGCACGGGCGCAAGCCUGCUCCAGCCAUGCCGCGUGCGGGAAGAAGGCCUUCGGGUUGUAAACCGCUUUUGUCAGGGAAGAAAAGGUUCUGGCUAAUACCUGGGACUCAUGACGGUACCUGAAGAAUAAGCACCGGCUAACUACGUG